rnacentral:lncRNA from 1 species
CUAAUAUGGACCAGAAAGGCAGGCCAACGAAGAGGUUUCCAUGACUGCUGUACCCUUCAGCCGGGUACCCUGCAGGUGCUCUCUGAAAUCAGCUUAAAAAUAUUUCGCCCGCCCACCUCUUCUGAGCGCAGGCUGAAAAGUGGAGUCUCUAUUUGUCCUCUCAGAAAGUUUGUUUUUGGGCAGGGCUGACAGUCCUGUUGAGUACUAGAGUUUCAGAUUAGGGCUGCAGUUGGAGAAGGGUUGCAGUAAAUGGCAGUGGCGGAAACUGCUGGUUCUCAGAAGUCCUUCUACUCCUCUUACAGCGUGUUAGAACCCCUGAUUUUUCCCCAAGCACAAAUGCACCCUGACUAAAGAUUACAUUACCCAGUAUUCCUUGCAAUUGAUUCCAUCUAUGUGAUUAAAAUCUGGCCAAUAAAAUAUAGGGCAGCUUUCCAGUACUUUGGUGACAGCUGACUGUUUCUUUGUUCCCUUUGCUUCUCUUCUGACAGUGAGUGUUCUUAGAGCCACCUCUCACCACUAGGAAAGUAAUUUUGAAGUUUAAAUUGAACUAUAGAAAAUAUAACCUGCCUGGGGGUGACCUAGUUGGCAUUGGAGACCCCAAGAUUUUCUGAAAGCUUGAAGGCGAGAAUGGGAAGUAAAAUAGCCAUUUAAACAAUGAUCAGUUUUCAGUCACCCAGGAGGUGAAGACUGGACAUUCACAUUUGGGUAGACUGAGAAAAGCAUCUUUAGGACUUUUGAGUUCUACAAAUCUUCACCUCUGGCUCCUGGAAAAAUCUUGAAGUCAUCUGAAUAUACAUAUUUUAUCCUCAGAAUAAAACACUGGUC